rnacentral:lncRNA from 1 species
AUGGUGGAACAGGUCACGGGUUCAGCCAACAACAUAUCAGAUGCCAUUAUUCUACUGACCGAGACCAUGGUGGAGCGACACGAGACAGGUGUUGAUGGUUCUGUCUCAGUUGGAGGGCAACGCUGGUUUCUCCAUCUCACAGAUUGGCCCACAGGAAGGCAGUCCACGCCUUGCUGGGCAUGGACACCACACAGCAGGCCUCCAUUGGCCUCGUCCACUUUGCCCAAGGACUCUACCUCCUACACCAGGGCUGUUAAAUUAUUUUCAUGGACGGCCAAAACACUUCUAGUGUGUUUCCUUUCCUUCUAAGUGUUUCGGUCCUCCAUGUCCGGAAUUGAAUAGCCCUGCCAUACACCAUCAUCACAGUUGUGCACCGGGGCCUCCCACUCCUCUUUCUAUUCUGGUUAGAGCCAGUGUGUGCUGUUCUAUGAAGGGAGUAGUACAUAGCGUUGUAUGAGAUCUUCAGUUUCUUCGCAAUUUCUCGUAUGGAAUAGCCUUAAUUUCUCAGAACAAGAAUAGACUGAUGAGUUUCAGAAGAAAGUGCAUGGUUUCUGGCCAUUUUGCGCCUGUAAUCGAACCCACAAAUGCUGAUGCUCCAGAUACUCAACUAGUCUAAAGAAGGCCAGUUUUAUUGCUUCUUUCAUCAGGAUAACAGUUUUCAGCUGUGCUAACAUAAUUUCAAAAAGGUUUUCUAAUGAUCAAUUAGCCUUUUAAAAUGAUAAACUUGGAUUAUCUAACACAACAUGACAUUGGAACACAGGAGUGAUGGUUGCUGAUAAUGGGCCUCUGUAUGCCUAUGUAGAUAGUCCUUAAAUAAAUCUGCCAUUUCCAGCUACAAUAGUAAUUUACAACAUUAACAAUGUCUACACUGUAUUUCUGAUCAAUUUGAUGUUAUUUUAAUGGACAAAAAAUGUGCCUUUCUUUAAAAAACAAGGAUAUUUCUAACUUUUGAAUGGUAGUGUAGGACCACCCUCCAAAACCAAGUGAAAUCGACACAAUCUUAACGUCAUCAUCAUUAUAAUAAUCUGUGAUCAUGGUAGUGAUUCCAAGAGACAAACACAUGUGUUGGUUUAGGAAAAAUCAAGUUUGGCAUUACAGGAGUGCUGAGCAUAAAAACAUCACAGUGGUUAAAAAAGAUUCUAUCCACAGGAGGGUGUUGAACGUUCAGGUUGGAUACAACAGUGAUCUUAGACAGGAUAUGUGUAUAUCCUUUCUGUACAAAUGCAUGUAUCCUACCUUAAAGAAAUUUGAGAGGCACAAAUAUUUGCAUUUGUGUUGCUCAUAACAGUCACAUACUCAAAUGUAUUCUUUAUAUUUUCUUAUGAUUUGUAUGAUUUUAAUUGAGUGACAAUUUUACUUCUGAAUUGAUAUAUGAUGAUGGUUAGAUUUAGUUUCCUACUCUUUGGCAGAAUGACACGGAAGGAAUAGGGUUGCAAAUGUUCCUGAAAUGUUCAGGUUUUACAUGUAAAAUGUAAUAAAGUUGUCACAGGCAGUUGACAUUCUGACUGUAUAUGAGAUCAGGAAAAAGGACACACAGCCCCAAGUAUGAGCAAGAUUAAAGACAGCUCAAUACAGGUGGUUAUGAUCAAAUGUCUGGCAUAUUGAAAAAUCUCAGUUAAUCCUGUAUCAUAAUCAUCCACCAGGUGGCCCUGCAAAAUGCUCACACCUUGCAAAUCUAUGGAUUAGUUUAGUAUUCUAUACCAUAUCAUGACAUUUUAAAAAGAGGGCUAAAUGCAUGUUUCUUAAUUGAAUUAAGAUAUUUUAGGAGAUUAAAAUAAGUACUUAAUAACAUGCACAUGUAUCUUGUCCCAGUAUGCACAGCUGAAUGUAUCCCUUCAUUCUAUGUAUGUUUGGUAGUUUACUAAAACAUUCCCUAUUUUAUGUCUCAAACCCGAACAAAACCUGUAGCAGAGUUUGCUCAAGUGUAAGGGUGCUUUAGUUAAACAGGGGCUCCAUUGGGGAGAUUGAGCGAGAGAGAGAGGCACUGGUUUGGGAAAAUGUGUAAAAAAAUUAUUGCAUAAUUGUUUGGGUUUUUGGAUGUGUCCUGCCCUGCCGCCUACAGCCUCCCCAUCUUUCCAAAAUAGCGCUAGAGAACUUUUAAACUACACAACAAUCCAAACGCCAGGUCGGGCCCCAGGGUACGUGCCCUGCGUGCCCGUUUGGUAAGCCGGCCCUGGUAGGCCGGCGAUCAUAGCGGAAUGGGAGUGGGCAGAAAAAAUACUGGCUCUGUUAUCAAGUCACACCGUCAAAAUCUUUGCGAAUUAUUGGAGAAGAACACUGACCACCAAAGGAAGGCAUUUGGACACGUAGAGCAAAAUCUGUAAAAUUGAGUGUAACUUGGCAGUAUGUCUUUACGGAUAGUUCUUUGUAGAUUUGAUAAACUAUUUCAAGUCAAAACAUAUUGAAAUCAAUAGAAAAUAAACACCGGUUGCGAAAAGGAAUUAGAUUUUUCUGGAUUAAAUAUCAAUACAGGUUUGUAGUCUAAAUUACCUGGAUUCUUCUGUCUGCUUUUGACGAGAAAGAGGAGCGGCGCGUAUUCACAUCAUCAUCCCUGUCGGCAGGUAAUACACGGGCGUAGUUGAAUGAUAACCUUUACAACUCAGUUUCCAGUCAUUUAUCUAUCAUUCCUAAUAGUAUUAUUCAUUAAUGAGUAGGCCCUCAAAUAAUAACUAGGCUAUAGGCUAUACUCCUCAUUAGAAUUAGGAACACAAUUAAAUACUUGUUAAGGAAAUAAUAUUAUUCAAAUGGCAUACUAGUGUUCUAUGGAAGUUUAGUAUUAAUAGUAUUCAGUUGAUCAAAUGGCUCAUUAUUGAUUAAUCAAUACCAUUCAAAUAGGUUGUUUAUCAUGUUUCUGUAGUUGAACUGCCUCAAAUAGAGGCAGUUCAACGGGACAAAUGUAUUUAGCAGAUGCUUUGGCCUGGCUGUCAGUCACCCAUCCUUUAUGUUAGACACACAAGUAUUUCUCUGUAUCAGUGUGUUUGUCUUCCUUACCUGCUACAUAGUUACUAUGGCAAUGCAUUGGUUAUUUUUAAAUAUAGGCUAGCUAGCCCCCUACUUGCCCAGAUAUUCCAUCUUGGAUGUACAGUACACUCUUCCCACUGGGCACAGAUGUCAAUUCAACCUCUAUUACACGUUGGUUCAAUGUAAUUUCAUUGAAAUGACAUGGAAACAACGUUGAUCCAUUCAAUCAGUGUGCCCAGCAGGUUGCUUUCUGUUUAAGGGUCUCUUCUCACAAAGAUUAGACCUGUAGACACACAGUCCUUGAUAAGCUGAGCAGUGAUCACUUUCAGUUGUGUGGGAUUUCUUGGUCAGUGGUGACUCUGAUCAGUGGUAGAAUUAUCCAGGAAACAGGUGUGUGUGUGGCACCUUCCAUUACCUGGCUGGCGCCAUGCGGGGGAUGUAAUGACUGUAAGGACUGAAGCCAUUCUGAUCCAGCCAGCCACUCUGUCAUGUACCAGCUUAUGUAAGACGCACAGUGUUUCAUGUAAUAUUGAAUAGGUAGCACUAGGAUUCAAUAUAACCUGUUGGAAUCACUGAGAAUAUUCUGUAUAACCUACAGGAUGCAGUGACCAGGUUACUGCAUGUAGCUAAGUGGUUACCAUGCGAUGGUUAAAUAUCACUUUGAGUACCUGCCAUCCCCAGUACUUGACUGAUUCAAUCAUAAUAAGGGAUAAAGGGGGGCUCAGGCUUUAGAUGUACUGAAUGUGUGUUU